GACGAACGCUGGCGGCGUGCCUAAUACAUGCAAGUAGAACGCACAGUUUAUACCGUAGCUUGCUACACCAUAGACUGUGAGUUGCGAACGGGUGAGUAACGCGUAGGUAACCUGCCUGGUAGCGGGGGAUAACUAUUGGAAACGAUAGCUAAUACCGCAUAAUAUUAAUUAUUGCAUGAUAAUUAAUUGAAAGGUGCAAUUGCACCACUACCAGAUGGACCUGCGUUGUAUUAGCUAGUAGGUGAGGUAACGGCUCACCUAGGCGACGAUACAUAGCCGACCUGAGAGGGUAGUAGGCCACACUGGGACUGAGACACGGCCCAUACUCCUACGGGAGGCAGCAGUAGGGAAUCUUCGGCAAUGGACGAAAGUCUGACCGAGCAACGCCGCGUGAGUGAAGAAGGUUUUCGGAUCGUAAAGCUCUGUUGUAAGAGAAGAACGGGUGUGAGAGUGGAAAGUUCACACUGUGACGGUAUCUUACCAGAAAGGGACGGCUAACUACGUG
rnacentral:rRNA from 1 species